ACCUUGGUCUCACGCAAUGUACGCUCACGAACCGUGUCAGGUCGGGAACGAAGCAGCACUAAGAGAGAUUGUGCAUGUGCCGUGAGGGUGCCGGGGUCUG
rnacentral:SRP_RNA from 1 species